rnacentral:lncRNA from 10 species
GUGGCAUUGCCGUUGGGGCUUUGAGGAUAAAUAGGAGUUCGCCAACGGGGAGACAUCCAGGCUGAGGCCACGAGACUUGCGCUGUAAGGUAGAGUGCAGCCAAAGCGCAUGGGGGGCAUUUGAGGGAACUGCCUCUUCUCCAAAUGGCCAGGAAGCCCAGCCUCUCCCUCUACCCCAAGUCCCGGCCCUUCAAAUCAUUCAUUCCACCCAGACUCACCUGUGGCUUCAGCUUUUGCUCCUCCUCCCAAUGGUGAGGUGGACAUUUUCCCCUUGAUCCCCCCAUCCCCCAAGACCUCCUCUCUCCCCACAAAAGCAUCAAAGCAAAGCACGCCCUCAUCGACGCCAACUCUCUUGGCCACCUUCUCUUCGUACAAACAGAGGUUUUAUUGCGUUUGGUCCACAGUCGUAUUUCACAUUAUCUCACGGAGCAGGUCCCCUGGGUGGGGGGUCCCUGUGCAGUACUUGGCGGGGCAUGUGGCCGGGGAAGAUGGAGCAGUAUAAGCUGGUCGGGCCCAGAAGGGAGGAGGGCUGGGGGCUCCUUAAAACCUACUGAGGGGCUGGGCACGGUGGCUCACACCUGUAAUCUCAGCGCUUGGGGAGGCGGAGGCGGGCGGAUCACACCUGAGGCCAGGAGUUCGAGACCAGCCUGGCCAACAUGGGGAAACCCCAUCUCUACUAAAAAUACAAAAAUUAGCCGGGCGUGGUGGAGCACCUGCAGUCCUAGCUACUCAGGAGGAGUUGUCACACUUGUCGGUUCCCAGCUUGGUA